CACCCUUUAAUGUUUGAUGUUCUAACGUUGACCCGUAAUCCGGGUUGCGGACAGUGUCUGGUGGGUAGUUUGACUGGGGCGGUCUCCUCCUAAAGAGUAACGGAGGAGCACGAAGGUUGGCUAAUCCUGGUCGGACAUCAGGAGGUUAGUGCAAUGGCAUAAGCCAGCUUGACUGCGAGCGUGACGGCGCGAGCAGGUGCGAAAGCAGGUCAUAGUGAUCCGGUGGUUCUGAAUGGAAGGGCCAUCGCUCAACGGAUAAAAGGUACUCCGGGGAUAACAGGCUGAUACCGCCCAAGAGUUCAUAUCGACGGCGGUGUUUGGCACCUCGAUGUCGGCUCAUCACAUCCUGGGGCUGAAGUAGGUCCCAAGGGUAUGGCUGUUCGCCAUUUAAAGUGGUACGCGAGCUGGGUUUAGAACGUCGUGAGACAGUUCGGUCCCUAUCUGCCGUGGGCGCUGGAGAACUGAGGGGGGCUGCUCCUAGUACGAGAGGACCGGAGUGGACGCAUCACUGGUGUUCGGGUUGUCAUGCCAAUGGCACUGCCCGGUAGCUAAAUGCGGAAGAGAUAAGUGCUGAAAGCAUCUAAGCACGAAACUUGCCCCGAGAUGAGUUCUCCCUGACUCCUUGAGAGUCCUGAAGGAACGUUGAAGACGACGACGUUGAUAGGCCGGGUGUGUAAGCGCAGCGAUGCGUUGAGCUAACCGGUACUAAUGAACCG
rnacentral:rRNA from 1 species